AACGGAGGGUGCAAGCGUUACUCGGAUUUAUUGGGCGUAAAGGGCAGGUAGGUGGUCUUAUUUGUCCGAGGUGAAAGCCUUGAGCUUAACUCAAGAAGUGCCUCAGAAACGGUAAGACUAGAGUUCUAGAGAGGGUCGUGGAAUUCCCGGUGUAGCGGUGAAAUGCGUAGAGAUCGGGAGGAACACCAGAGGCGAAGGCGGCGACCUGGAUAGAUACUGACACUAAACUGCGAAAGCGUGGGGAGCAAACAGG
rnacentral:rRNA from 1 species